rnacentral:rRNA from 1 species
ACGAACGCUGGCGGCGUGCUUCACACAUGCAAGUCGAACGGUGAAGCGCCUUCCUUUUUGGUGGGUGUGGAUGAGUGGCGAACGGGUGAGUAACACGUGAGUAACCUGCCCCCUUCUUCUGGAUAACCGCAUGAAAGUGUGGCUAAUACGGGAUAUUCUGGGUCUGUCGCAUGAUGGGUCUGGGAAAGAUAUUGUUUCGGUGGGGGAUGGGCUCGCGGCCUAUCAGCUUGUUGGUGGGGUGAUGGCCUACCAAGGCGGUGACGGGUAGCCGGCCUGAGAGGGUGGACGGUCACACUGGGACUGAGACACGGCCCAGACUCCUACGGGAGGCAGCAGCGGGGAAUAUUGCACAAUGGGCGCAAGCCUGAUGCAGCGACGCCGCGUGAGGGAUGGAGGCCUUCGGGUUGUGAACCUCUUUCGCCAGUGAAGCAGGCCUGCCUCGUUUGUGGGUGGGUUGACGGUAGCUGGAUAAGAAGCGCCGGCUAACUACGUG